CUGAGAGCCCGAUAUAGGUAGUUCUAACCAGCUGCCUACUUCGUGUGCCUUCUUCUACCCUUUGUUUAUGAGUACCUUUUAUUUUUCUUUCCUCGGUGGGGGUAACUUGCCGAUGGAAUGCUUCUUAAACUCUUGCCUUAGCAUUUUAAUAUCUGAUAACCUAAUUAAUUAUUA
rnacentral:misc_RNA from 1 species